UAAUAAGAAGUAAAUUUUACCUUUAGUUUCGACCUAAAAAUAUGACGAUUUUAUACGUCCUUAUUAA
rnacentral:tRNA from 1 species